CAACAUUAGAGAACGAACACCUAAAUGCACAGACUUCAGACAGUGAUUCACUCAUCAACCAGUCACCCACUGAGGAAAAUACUGACCAACUGUUCAUCGAUUUAACAGAUGAGAAAACGGACAUGGAAUCUUUAAGUGAAUGGCGGAGGAUGCGUGAGGAGCAGGAUGAUGAAUAUAAUCAGUCUUUGAUAGCAGAUCAAGCCAAAGAACUGCAGAAGAUGAAUAGCAAAGAAUCUGAGAAUAGACGCAGAAAGG